AUGAACGCUGGCGGCGUGCCUAAUACAUGCAAGUCGAGCGAACAGACGAGGAGCUUGCUCCUCUGACGUUAGCGGCGGGCGGGUGAGUAACACGUGGAUAACCUACCUAUAAGACUGGGAUAACUUCGGGAAACCGGAGCUAAUACCGGAUAAUAUAUUGAACCGCAUGGUUCCAUAGUGAAAGACGGUUUUGCUGUCACUUAUAGAUGGAUCCGCGCCGCAUUAGCUAGUUGGUAAGGUAACGGCUUACCAAGGCAACGAUGCGUAGCCGACCUGAGAGGGUGAUCGGCCACACUGGAACUGAGACACGGUCCAGACUCCUACGGGAGGCAGCAGUAGGGAAUCUUCCGCAAUGGGCGAAAGCCUGACGGAGCAACGCCGCGUGAGUGAUGAAGGUCUUCGGAUCGUAAAACUCUGUUAUUAGGGAAGAACAAAUGUGUAAGUAACUAUGCACGUCUUGACGGUACCUAAUCAGAAAGCCACGGCUAACUACGUG
rnacentral:rRNA from 1 species